rnacentral:rRNA from 1 species
UAGGGAAUCUUCCGCAAUGGACGAAAGUCUGACGGAGCAACGCCGCGUGAGCGAAGAAGGCCUUCGGGUCGUAAAGCUCUGUUGUAAGGGAAGAACAAGUGCCAUUUAACUGAUGGCACCUUGACGGUACCUUACGAGAAAGCCACGGCUAACUACGUGCCAGCAGCCGCGGUAAUACGUAGGUGGCAAGCGUUGUCCGGAUUUAUUGGGCGUAAAGCGCGCGCAGGCGGUCCUUUAAGUCUGAUGUGAAAGCCCACGGCUCAACCGUGGAGGGUCAUUGGAAACUGGGGGACUUGAGUGCAGAAGAGGAAAGUGGAAUUCCACGUGUAGCGGUGAAAUGCGUAGAGAUGUGGAGGAACACCAGUGGCGAAGGCGACUUUCUGGUCUGUAACUGACGCUGAGGCGCGAAAGCGUGGGGAGCAAACAG